CGAGUGGCGGACGGGUGAGUAAUGUCUGGGAAACUGCCUGAUGGAGGGGGAUAACUACUGGAAACGGUAGCUAAUACCGCAUAACGUCGCAAGACCAAAGAGGGGGACCUUCGGGCCUCUUGCCAUCAGAUGUGCCCAGAUGGGAUUAGCUAGUAGGUGGGGUAACGGCUCACCUAGGCGACGAUCCCUAGCUGGUCUGAGAGGAUGACCAGCCACACUGGAACUGAGACACGGUCCAGACUCCUACGGGAGGCAGCAGUGGGGAAUAUUGCACAAUGGGCGCAAGCCUGAUGCAGCCAUGCCGCGUGUAUGAAGAAGGCCUUCGGGUUGUAAAGUACUUUCAGCGGGGAGGAAGGUGUUGUGGUUAAUAACCGCAGCAAUUGACGUUACCCGCAGAAGAAGCACCGGCUAACUCCGUGCCAGCAGCCGCGGUAAUACGGAGGGUGCAAGCGUUAAUCGGAAUUACUGGGCGUAAAGCGCACGCAGGCGGUCUGUCAAGUCGGAUGUGAAAUCCCCGGGCUCAACCUGGGAACUGCAUUCGAAACUGGCAGGCUAGAGUCUUGUAGAGGGGGGUAGAAUUCCAGGUGUAGCGGUGAAAUGCGUAGAGAUCUGGAGGAAUACCGGUGGCGAAGGCGGCCCCCUGGACAAAGACUGACGCUCAGGUGCGAAAGCGUGGGGAGCAAACAGGAUUAGAUACCCCUGGUAGUCCACGCCGUAAACGAUGUCGACUUGGAGGUUGUGCCCUUGAGGCGUGGCUUCCGGAGCUAACGCGUUAAGUCGACCGCCUGGGGAGUACGGCCGCAAGGUUAAAACUCAAAUGAAUUGACGGGGGCCCGCACAAGCGGUGGAGCAUGUGGUUUAAUUCGAUGCAACGCGAAGAACCUUACCUACUCUUGACAUCCAGAGAACUUUCCAGAGAUGGAUUGGUGCCUUCGGGAACUCUGAGACAGGUGCUGCAUGGCUGUCGUCAGCUCGUGUUGUGAAAUGUUGGGUUAAGUCCCGCAACGAGCGCAACCCUUAUCCUUUGUUGCCAGCGGUUAGGCCGGGAACUCAAAGGAGACUGCCAGUGAUAAACUGGAGGAAGGUGGGGAUGACGUCAAGUCAUCAUGGCCCUUACGAGUAGGGCUACACACGUGCUACAAUGGCGCAUACAAAGAGAAGCGACCUCGCGAGAGCAAGCGGACCUCAUAAAGUGCGUCGUAGUCCGGAUUGGAGUCUGCAACUCGACUCCAUGA
rnacentral:rRNA from 1 species